UUCUAAAAAUAGCCGCUCAACUUAUUCAACUCUCUCUCCCUCCCUAUCUUUCACGUCCUUAUUCUUCGUCAUCAAAAAUUACCCAUGCCAGCACCAUUAAGAUCGUCAUCGUCAUUUUAUGAAAUCAUUUAGUGAAUGUUCUGUUAAUUAUGUUAUUGUUGAUUUUUUGUUUGUUUGUUUCCUUGAUUUUGAAUAAGUUUGCACUAGCAGAUCCGUGAUUGUCAUGGGUUUGAAGAAGAUUUCCAUUAGAGAUUUAUGAUGGGUUUUUACGGUUUUAACUAUGGUUUUAAUUGGAACCACAUAAACCAUAAAAAUCCAUUGUAGAAAACCCCUAAUUGAAAGAUCCUGUUUGGAGGUAUUCCAUGUGGUCUGGAAGUGGAUUUAUAUGAAGUUCUCGAUUGAGAAAUGGAUACAACAACAAACAAUAGCAUUGGGGGUUUGCAUGAACUGAGUUCCAUGGGUUUCUUGAGCUGUCAGAGAAGUGGUGGUGUCUCAAUUACCCGCAAUGCGAUUUGUCGAGAGCUUGUCACUACGUAUGAUCAAGCCAUGGAGAUGGUUGUGAAUGUUGAUGGAAAUAAUAAAUUAAUCUUGUACUUGUGCUGUUAAUAUGCUUACAGGGAUAGAGGUUGAGUCGAAUUUUCAUUUUCAAUGAGCA